UACGUAGGGGGGCAAGCGUUGUCCGGAUUUAUUGGGCGUAAAGAGCGUGUAGGCGGCUAGGUAGGUCCGUUGUGAAAACUCGAGGCUCAACCUCGAGACGCCGAUGGAAACCAUCUAGCUAGAGUCCGGAAGAGGAGAGUGGAAUUCCUGGUGUAGCGGUGAAAUGCGCAGAUAUCAGGAGGAACACCGGUGGCGAAGGCGGGUCUCUGGGCCGAUACUGACGCUGAGGAGCGAAAGCGUGGGGAGCGAACAGG
rnacentral:rRNA from 1 species